rnacentral:rRNA from 1 species
CACGAACCGUACGAACGUUAUUCGGAAUCACUGGGCUUAAAGCGUGUGUAGGCGGAUGCCUAAGUACCUUGUGAAAUCCCACGGCUUAACCGUGGAACUGCUCGGUAUACUGGGUGUCUUGAGCCACUUAGGGGCUACCGGAACAAAUGGUGGAGCGGUGAAAUGCGUAGAUAUCAUUUGGAACGCCAAUGGUGAAAACAGGUAGCUGGGAGUGUGCUGACGCUGAGACACGAAAGCCAGGGGAGCAAACGGG